AAUUGUCUAAAAGAAUAGAGCAUCUAUUGUAUAAAACCGACUAAAUAGUGACGAUAAGGGAGUUUCGAACUUUAACUGGUGUUGAAUACUUGCACAUUUUGUAAGGAUCCUAAAGGUUAAAUACAAACACCCACCUGCGGAGAGCGGGUUUUUAUCGUUGGUGUUCUCUCUUUUGGAUAAUUU
rnacentral:other from 1 species